GGACAGGGAGCAGAGCGAGCAGCAGCCACAUCUUUCCAGAGCAUCAGAGGAUUCUGUUGAGCCACUGGCAAGGAAUGAUGAAGAGGAACCAACAGAAGAUGAUGAGUAUGUGUGAGAGAAAGUGUCUAGCAAAGUGUCUAAUGUCAGAUAAGUGGCUGAAGGAGGUUUCUGCCAAGCUUUUGGGUUCUGCCUAGCUCUGUGCAAGUACUUGAGACCUGGAAUAUAGUGGCCUGCCUGGAAGAGAAUUAAAAUAAACCCAGCAGAAUCCAGCAGAAGCCUUUCUUCUCUGUUUGUGAAGCCUUAGCUUCUUAGAAGCUGUCUAUCUAACACUGAAUGUAAGAGAAUGGCUGGUCACACUGAAAUGCUUGCUGUUCAUAAAAAUUCAUGGCAUGAUUGUUUUUCUGGGCUGGGAUGUUGCUUAAUCAGAAUAGGAGAUGUUUUAGGUACCAAAGUUUUCUGCAUUGGUAGCCUUUGGUGCCCAAAGAAAUAAAUGGCUGCAUGGUCUUCUGGUUCUGCUCUCUCUAGUGAUUGGCUGCGAUUUAAUUUUGAACGUCCAUUUUGGUCAGAUGAGGACUCAGCGGUGAGGAUCCACAUGUUCUUGUCCUUUCUGGUUUGUGGGAGGGGGAGGGACAAAAGGGGAGCUGCACAACUCAGAUGUUUGAGGCGGGAUGCCACGGGCAGCAGGCUGGAAGCACAGCCCUUGCUGGGAAGCUCCAACUUGCCCAUCCCUCCAAGUCCCUCCUGGGUGGUGUCCAUAGAGGGAGAAGCUCUUUCCAGGAUGGCACUGGCAGAUCUGUGUGUCCUUUGUAGUUCUAGCGUUGAGUGACAUAGUGCACAUACUCCAAGUCCAGUUUGCCUGGAGCCAACAAAAAAUUCCAGCAAACUGGAAUUCUUUACUCCCAGUGCCUGUUGUGGUUUCCUUUUUUCAGCAGCUAUUCAUCCAACAUGAAGUGUUUAGGGCUAUGACUGCAGAAGUUGCCCUUUUUGGAGCUAACAAGGGAAAGAAAAGCUUCUAGCCCAAAUCCAAUCAGGGAACUGAUACAGGGAAGUAGGUUAGAGUUGUUUUGAGUGUUUCCUACCCUGUUUUCAUUUUUAACCCCUGCAGGACAGGGAGCAGAACCAGCAGCACUCACGUCUUUCCAGAUCAGCAGAGAAUUCCCCUAGUCCAGUGGCAACUCGUGACGAAGAGGAGCCAAGAGAUAGUGAUGGGUAUGUGAGAGUAAAAUGUCUCUCUGAAGUCUAAUUUGUGAUGCAAGGUAGGAACAGGUUUUUGCCAAGCUUCUGGGUUCUGUUGAAGUCUGUGCAGAACCUUCAGACCUGGAAUACAGUGCAGAGAAGUAAGUAAAAGAGUCCAAAAAAACACAUAGCAAAAUCCAGCUGAAACCUUUCUUUUCUUUUCAUGAAGUCAUGGUUGAAUAUUUGUAACAGUACGACUUGAUAUAUGCUGAAAUGCUUGCAGCACAUAGCAGCUCGGGGAACAGCUGUGGAGCUGGGCUGGGAUGUUGCUAAAUCUGAAUAGGUGUUACAUGUUGGCAACUCUUUGUCUGCAGUGAAAUUAUUGGUUCUGCGUUCAAAUGGCUGCACGCUCUUUUUGGUUCCCUCUAGUGCACGGCCAGCAGGCCCAGCUAGUCCUCGGAUGAGGGAGAGUGACAACUCUCAGGUGCAGGACAGGGAGCAGAGCCAGCAGUACCCACUUGGCUCCAGAGAGGCAGAAAAUUCAGCUGAGAUACGGGUGACAGACAUUGAAGAGGAACCAAGAGCUAACAAUGAGUAUGUGACUGAUGAAGAGUCUCUCCAAAGUGUAAUUUCUGAUAUAUGGUAGAUGCAGGUUUUUUGCCAAACUAUUGGAUUCUGCUUGACUCUGUGUAAUGGAAUCUGAUUUGAACCAUAGUGGCCUGUCAGGAAGGGAAGUAUUGGAAAAAAAACUCCUAUAAACAAAGCAAAAUCCUGGAGAAACCUUUCUUCUCCAUUCAGGAAAUCAUUGUUGAAUGUUUCUUACAUUACGGUUUGCACUGAAAGGCUUGCAGUACAUAAAAGCUCUUGCACUGACCGUGUUUCUGAGCUGGGAUGUUGCUUAAUCAGAAUAAGGGGUUGUUUCUAUUUUUGCAAUGUCUUGGAAGCCCUCUUUGCACUGUGAAAUUGACAGCUGCAUGUUCUUCUAGUUCUAUUAACUCUGAUGAAUGGCCAGACCGUUUUGAGAGUCCCCCGACAUGGCAGGAUGACAUUACAGAUGUAAGCAUCAUGUUCUUAUCACAUGUUCUUGUCCUUUCUGCUUUGUGGGGGGGAGGAGACAGAGGGGGAGCUGCACAACUCAGUUGUCCUAGGUGGGAUGCCACGGGCAGCUGACUGGAAGUCCAGCCCUUGCUGGGAAGCUCCAAUUUGCCCAUCCCUCCAAGUCCUUUCUUGGUGGUGUCCAUAGAGGGAGAAGCCUUUGUCAGGAUAGCACUGGCAGAUCUGUGUGUUCCUUGUAGUUCUAGUAUUGACUGACAGACUGCAGACACCCCAAAUCCAAUUUGCUGGUGCCAAUAGAGCAGCAAACCUUUUUGCCCCAAAUUUCUGUGGUUGCCGUUUCUGUUUCUCAGCAGCGGUUCAUCCAACAUGAAGUGUUUAGGGCUAGCAAAGGAAAGAAAAGGUUCUAGCCCAAAUCUACUCAGGAAACAUAAACAGGGAGGCAGGAUGGAGUGGCUUCAAGCGAUUCCUACUCUGUCUACAUUUUUACCCCACUGCAGGACUGGGAAAGGAGCCAGCAGUACUCACUUCGUUCCAGGUCAACAGAGAAUUCACUGGCAAGCAACCUCCAACAGGAACCACGAGAUAUUGAAUUGUACGUGACAGAUAUAGAGUCUCUCCAAAGUGUAAUUUCUGAUGUACGGUAGACGGAGGUUCCUGCCAAUCUUUUGGGUUCUACUUGAUUCUGUUUGGAGAAUUCUGACUUGAAACAUAGUGGCCUGUCUGGAACAGAAGUAACAACAACAACAACAACAACAACAACAACAAACCCACAAAAAAAAAAACCCCGAAAACCAAACCAACUUAAAACCAGUAAAAUCCAGGAGAAACAUUUCCUCUCUGUCAGGAAGUCAUUAUUAAAUGUUUCUUACAUUAUGGAUUGUGAUACACUGAAAUGCUUGCAGUACAUAAAAGCUCUUGCACUUGAUUGUGUUUCUGGGCUGGGAUGUUGCUAAAUCAGAACAAGGGGUUAUUUAAAUUUCUUCAAUUAUAUGUUCUGUUGGUAGCCCUUUGUGCUCUGUGAAAUUGACCAGCUGCAUGUUUUUCUGGUUCUGUUCCCUCUAGUGAACCACUAAGAAGUUUGGUUAGUCCUCCAAAUUGGGAGGAUGACAAUGCAGAGGUGAGGAUCCACAUAUUGUUGUAAUUUCUGGUUUGUGGGAGGGAAAGGGGCUAAAGGGGAACUGCACAACUCAGAUGUUUGAGGUGGGAUGCUACGGGCAGCAGGCUGGAAGCACAGCCCUUGCUGGGAAGCUCCAACUUGCCCAUCCCUCCAAGCUCCUCCUUGGUGGUAUCCAUAGAGAGAGAAGCCCCUUCCAGGAUGACCCUGGCAGAUCUGUGUGUCCUUUGUAGUUCUAGCGUUGAGUGACAUAUUGCACAUACUCCAAGUCCAGUUUCCUGGGUGCCAAUAGAGCAGCAAACUGGAAUUCUUUACUCCCAAAUUUCUGUUGUGACUUCCUUUCUUCAGCAGCUGUACAGCUAACAUGAAGUGUUAAGGUUCUCAUAGCAGAAUUUGCCAGUUUUGGGGAGAACAAGGGAAAGAAACAGCUCCAGGUCAAAUCUAAAUAGGGAACAGGAACAGGGGACCAGGGAGGAGGGUGUUCAGGGGGUUCCUAAGCUGCCUCUAUUUCUACCCUGUUGCGGCAAUGAGAGCAGAAUCAGCAGCACCCACUUCUUUGUUAUUCAGGGCAGCAGCUCUUUGUGCUACUGCUUUGAAUGCUCUUAACCAAACAUAGAGGGUGAUACCCUACCCUUCCCCAACUCCCCUGCUGUAACUGCUUUCUGAGCUGAGGUUUGAGGGCAGCACCAGGGGGGAUCACCAAAUCUAAUUGUAUCUUCCUUUUCUCUCCCUUCCCAUGUGCAUCGAUUGAAGUUUCCUGAAGGUGAGGUGAUGUUUUACAGUUGGUAAUGGACUUUUAUCUAAAAUGUGAUAGUUAUUUUUGUUGUUCUUUUCCAAGAAAGUCGAGCAGCAGGGAUUGAAACUUCUUUUCAGCAAAAGGCAAAGCACAGGGCUAAAGCCUCUGGCCUGUGUCUUAGAGAAUGGAUGCGAUGUGUGUGUGAUGGCCUCUGUCAGUCCCAGUGGGAAAUCCCUGCAAGAAAAGUGGUAGCUGAACACUUAUGCAGAAGGAACUUUAAUGUGGUAAUGCCUCCUGCAAUUUUAAUUGAUUAGCGAUUGGUUAGUGUGACAUGGACCCUGGAGUUGCAGAGGUCAUCGUUGCCUGGGGUUUCUGAGAGUUAAGGAGCAAACAGCAGUUCUUGACCCUUUGGCUGUUACAGACCAGGCCAUUAGAAAUGGUUCUCCCAGUAACUUGGUCAAUGUGUGGUCCACAAAAAUUGGAUUUGUUACUGGGGUGCAACAGGUAAAUGAUGAGCCACUUGAGAGAGACAUUGGUUGCUUGUUUCAGUGUUUCACCAGUCUGGGCGCUCAGUGGUAUUUCACAAAUCAGACACACCCACUUCCAAAAGAACUUCUAUUAUUUAUAAAUUUAAACCAAGAAAGAAAUUAGCAUUAAGUGGUUGCAAGUGACAUGGUUAUCUUCUUAGCCAGUAUUUUGUCUUCUUCUGGUUAGUGAUUGUCUCUCUUCUCACUGUAAUUAGUCCACUGAGUGCAUUGCUCAGUCUGCCUCUUCUUUUGGGCUGGGGAGGUUCUUGAGUUGCCGCUCCACGAGUCGGUGGUCGCAAUCUCCCCCUGCAGGAAUUACUUUUUACCAGUCAGAGCUGAUUUCAGGACAGUUGGGUUUCUUAGUUCCUUAUCCUGGGAGUUGUUCCAGAUUUUCAUGGGGCCCCUCAAUUCUGCAUUCUUUGUGUCCACUCUCAGUGGGCAUCCUUCUCUCCAAACUUUGUUAAGCCUUCCCUGGGUCUGAGCUCCUUGAAGCAUGUCAAGCCCUGAACCUUAACAAGGCAAUUCUACCAACAAGGAAUUUGUUUUUCUGCCCCAUGGGCAUCACUUAGAUCUUGUUUGUGAGUUGUUGUCUAUUUAAUGGACCAUAUCUCCCAGUUGAUUUGGCUUGAACAUACAUAAAGAUCAAACAUGAAUACAAGCGGCAUCCUUCCUUAAGAAAUCUUUUACAUAUUCUGCAUUUUGCAUCACAUAUAACUCCAUUCUUAAAUUAGCUUAAUUAAGGAGGAAGAUAAUGACAAUUUUCUAAGGGCAUACUGCUUCAAGUAAUUUUUAGUUUCCAUGGACUGUCUUUGAGAAUCUCAGGUCACCUUUUUUAGCUGUGUGUAGGCUGAACAGAGCAAAAAUUUUGUGUUGUUUUGUAGCAGAGGAGCCACAAUGUGUGGAAGGGUCCACUCUUAGAAUUUGGGAAAGUAGCUUGUUUAUGCUUGUUUUUAAACCAGCUGAAUAGAGUCCAUUUCAAAUAGGAAGCAUUGCUGACUAUUUAUAUAACUCAUUUCAAGGGUAGCUCCAGGGAGAGAGAGAAUAAGAGAUCUAAUUUCUGAAAAUUAAAUUACAGUGUAUGGACAGGAAAGCAGAAAUGUUACACUGAACAGCCAGGAGCAGGUGGAUGGCUCUGGUAAUGGAACAGGAGCUCAUGAUGCACCUGUGGCUGACCCAGCCCCUGCAGAACAGGGAGCAGCAGAGGAGGACACUGCACAUUCAGAUUCUGUUUCUUCCAGUGCACAGCAAAGAGUUGUCAUUAGGUGUCCAAUUUGCAUGGAAUUUUACUCCGAGAUUCUACAACAUGGACAACAGCUUGUGGUGACCCUGUGUGGCCAUGUCUUCUGCACUAGAUGCCUCCCUAUUGCCCUGGAGACUGCUCACAUGUGCCCAACCUGCAGGGCGGAACAAUAUCCAGAUGAAUAUAUUAACAUUUUUUUAUGAGUGCUUCUCAGGACACACUCAGAUGGAUCUUGGACAAUAGGCAGUGGAGAGACUUGUUUCUUUGUCUAUAUAGUUCUUCCUGUACAUAGUUUCAUUUUUUUCUGAAUUCAAUUUAAAUAAAGUUUUGAAUAGUUGAAA